rnacentral:lncRNA from 1 species
CUGUUUUAGCAUGAUGUUCUACUGUGGACUUCAACAAUUACAUCUGUAUUUUCCAUUCAGUACACUAUAAUUUUAUUAAGAAAAAUAAUAAUUCCAGAAUAGACAUUCUUUUAAAAAUGAUCUUAUUACGUUGUCAUGUGCCUGAUUUAAAACUUCCUAAAAAUUUUUUUUCAGUAAGUCCAUCUUUUUCUUGUUUUUUCUCCCCCAGUGGUCAUAUGCAUUAGAAAAACCCAACACUGGCAGCAUAUUUAAUAUUGCAUGGUCUAUCGAUGGCACUCAGAUUGCUGGAGCCUGUGGAAAUGGACAUGUCGUUUUUGCACAUGUGGUGGAACAACAUUGGGAGUGGAAAAAUUUUCAAGUAACAUUAACGAAAAGAAGAGCCAUGCAGGUUCGUAAUGUUCUUAAUGAUGCAGUGGAUUUACUGGAAUUCCGUGAUAGAGUCAUUAAAGCAUCUUUGAACUAUGCACACUUAGUUGUUUCAACGUCUCUUCAAUGUUACGUGUUCUCCACGAAGAACUGGAACACACCAAUUAUAUUUGAUCUCAAAGAAGGA